UACGUAGGGUGCGAGCGUUAAUCGGAAUUACUGGGCGUAAAGCGUGCGCAGGCGGUUUUGCAAGCCAGAUGUGAAAUCCCCGGGCUUAACCUGGGAAUGGCAUUUGGGACUGCAAGGCUUGAGUGCGGCAGAGGAGACUGGAAUUCCUGGUGUAGCAGUGAAAUGCGUAGAUAUCAGGAGGAACACCGAUGGCGAAGGCAGGUCUCUGGGCUGACACUGACGCUCAUGCACGAAAGCGUGGGGAGCAAACAGG
rnacentral:rRNA from 1 species